GACGAACGCUGGCGGCGUGCUUAACACAUGCAAGUCGAACGGAAAGGCCCUGCUUUUGUGGGGUGCUCGAGUGGCGAACGGGUGAGUAACACGUGAGUAACCUGCCCUUGACUUUGGGAUAACUUCAGGAACCUGGGGCUAAUACCGGAUAGGAGCUCCUGCUGCAUGGUGGGGGUUGGAAAGUUUCGGCGGUUGGGGAUGGACUCGCGGCUUAUCAGCUUGUUGGUGGGGUAGUGGCUUACCAAGGCUUUGACGGGUAGCCGGCCUGAGAGGGUGACCGGCCACAUUGGGACUGAGAUACGGCCCAGACUCCUACGGGAGGCAGCAGUGGGGAAUAUUGCACAAUGGGCGGAAGCCUGAUGCAGCAACGCCGCGUGCGGGAUGACGGCCUUCGGGUUGUAAACCGCUUUCGCCUGUGACGAAGCGUGAGUGACGGUAAUGGGUAAAGAGGCACCGGCUAACUACGUG
rnacentral:rRNA from 1 species